rnacentral:pre_miRNA from 1 species
AGGAGGAACAACCGCAGUGGCGGCAGCAGCCCUGGAGCCCUGGAGUCAGCUCUGGCAGUAGCUCCGGAGCUCUCCGUCUGCAGGGCCUGGAGGCUCCGGGGCGGG